rnacentral:rRNA from 1 species
UACGUAGGGGGCAAGCGUUGUCCGGAUUUACUGGGCGUAAAGAGCGUGUAGGCGGCCAAGCAGGUCCGUUGUGAAAACUGGAGGCUUAACCUCCAGACGUCGACGGAAACCGCGCGGCUAGAGUCUGGAAGAGGAGAGUGGAAUUCCUGGUGUAGCGGUGAAAUGCGCAGAUAUCAGGAAGAACACCAAUGGCGAAGGCAGCUCUCUGGGACGGUACUGACGCUGAGACGCGAAAGCGUGGGGAGCGAACAGG